UACAGAGGGUGCAAGCGUUAAUCGGAAUUACUGGGCGUAAAGCGUGCGCAGGCGGUUUUGUAAGUCUGUCGUGAAAUCCCCGGGCUCAACCUGGGAAUUGCGAUGGAGACUGCAAGGCUAGAAUCUGGCAGAGGGGGGUAGAAUUCCACGUGUGAGCAGUGAAAAUGCGUAGAGAUGUUGGAGGAACACCGAUGGCGAAGGCAGCCCCCU
rnacentral:rRNA from 1 species